rnacentral:pre_miRNA from 1 species
AUAACAUUCGGGCCGUCGAUCUACCGAACAAUUUUACCUGCUCGGUGGAAGAUCUUCCCUGUGUUAC